rnacentral:rRNA from 1 species
UGAGGAAUAUUGGUCAAUGGACGGAAGUCUGAACCAGCCAUGCCGCGUGCAGGAAGACGGCUCUAUGAGUUGUAAACUGCUUUUGUACAAGGGUAAACCUGAAUACGUGUAUUCAGCUGAAAGUACUGUACGAAUAAGGAUCGGCUAACUCCGUGCCAGCAGCCGCGGUAAUACGGAGGAUCCAAGCGUUAUCCGGAUUUAUUGGGUUUAAAGGGUGCGUAGGCGGAUUGAUAAGUUAGAGGUGAAAUGUCCGAGCUUAACUCGGGAACUGCCUCUAAUACUGUUGAUCUAGAGAGUAGAUGCGGUAGGCGGAAUGUAUGGUGUAGCGGUGAAAUGCUUAGAGAUCAUACAGAACACCGAUUGCGAAGGCAGCUUACCAAUCUAUAUCUGACGUUGAGGCACGAAAGCGUGGGGAGCAAACA